UACAGAGGGUGCGAGCGUUGUCCGGAAUCACUGGGCGUAAAGGGCGCGUAGGUGGCCCGAUAAGUACGGGGUGAAACCCUGCAGCUUAACUGCAGGACGGCCUCGUAGACUGUCAGGCUUGAGCAUGGUAGAGGCUGGUGGAAUUCCCGGUGUAGCGGUGGAAUGCGUAGAGAUCGGGAAGAACAUCGGUGGCGAAGGCGGCCAGCUGGGCCAUUGCUAACACUGAGGCGCGACAGCGUGGGGAGCAAACAGG
rnacentral:rRNA from 1 species